CCAUCUCUAGCGGUGAAAUGUGUAUAGAUCUGGAGGAAUACGGGUGGCGAAGGCGGCCCCUCGGACAAAGACUGACGCUCAGGUGCGAAAGCGUGGCGAGCAAACAGGAUUAGAUACCCUGGUAGUCCACGCCGUAAACGAUGUCGACUUGGAGGUUGUGCCCUUGAGGCGUGGCUUCCGGAGCUAACGCGUUAAGUCGACCGCCUGGGGAGUACGGCCGCAAGGUUAAAACUCAAAUGAAUUGACGGGGGCCCGCACAAGCGGUGGAGCAUGUGGUUUAAUUCGAUGCAACGCGAAGAACCUUACCUACUCUUGACAUCCAGAGAACUUAGCAGAGAUGCUUUGGUGCCUUCGGGAACUCUGAGACAGGUGCUGCAUGGCUGUCGUCAGCUCGUGUUGUGAAAUGUUGGGUUAAGUCCCGCAACGAGCGCAACCCUUAUCCUUUGUUGCCAGCGGUUAGGCCGGGAACUCAAAGGAGACUGCCAGUGAUAAACUGGAGGAAGGUGGGGAUGACGUCAAGUCAUCAUGGCCCUUACGAGUAGGGCUACACACGUGCUACAAUGGCAUAUACAAAGAGAAGCGACCUCGCGAGAGCAAGCGGACCUCAUAAAGUAUGUCGUAGUCCGGAUUGGAGUCUGCAACUCGACUCCAUGAAGUCGGAAUCGCUAGUAAUCGUGGAUCAGAAUGCCACGGUGAAUACGUUCCCGGGCCUUGUACACACCGCCCGUCACACCAUGUGAGUGGGUUGCAGAAACGAAGGUACGGUAGCUUAACCUUUCGGGAGGUGCGAUUACUAGCUUGAUCAGGACC
rnacentral:rRNA from 1 species